GGAAGAGCUAGCGCGGGGUGUGGGCGGUGCGGGUGGCACCGGCGCGAGCGCGCGUGGAGGUGGCACUCGGGAGGCAGCGAUCGGGGUUGAAGGCCCUCAAGGGUCCCUCAGGAGUGCGCGACUGGAGCCGGUGGCUCCCGCGCUAUUGCAGCAUAACACUCCAGCAUCCAUUUCCUGGGCAGCUGGUUACGCCACUCCAACAACCCAGAGGACACAAAUCCACGGAGCGGCUGUCAGGCCUCAGACAUCAGGAGGACUCGGACGGCCCCUAUUCACUUUGCUACGUGUGUAAAGGACAAGGAAAGGUUUAGAAAACACAGGACAGAGAUUUGGUUUCCUGUUCCUUCAGCCAGCCGCUCCAGUGUGCUUUUUCCUUGUUGUCUACGUCACUUCAGUGUACAACCCUGUGUAUCUAUUUUCUUGGGUUCUUUUUGUUGUAAGUGACAGAAAGCCAGCUUAAACUGCCUGUCCAUUAAGGACCUCACAAAUACUGCUCACUGCAACUGGUUGUCACAGCUGCCCCUCCGUCUCCCUCCAGUAGAGUACCUACCCAGCCACACAUUGACCCCCUCACUGACCAGGAAACCAACAGGGAGCUGUGCACAGGGGUAGAGGCAGCCCCUCCACGCUUGCCCCAGGUCAACGCCAUAGAACUAGACGUGGAGGCUGGCAGCAAACACUGGAGGUCUGUCUGGAAAAGGGUGUAGAAACUCCCCCAGAAAAGUUCCCAAGGCCUGAACCACUCCCCUUUUCACAACAUCCCAAGGCUGGUUCCUGGGCCUGCCUACCUACAAUCACCCCGUUGACACACUCAUGUGGGUGGCCGGCUCAAACCUGUCCACAUCCCAGGAGGCUGGCCAGCUGCAGCAGGAGCCCACCCGGGGAAGAGGGUGUCAGGACACUUGAGUGACAGCGUCUCUCCAUCCUGCCUGCAGUUCAGGGCUCUGUGACAAAUGGCUAUCAUGACAGGACUUCCUCGGGUGGAAAGGGGACAGGAGAGAGAUGGGACCUGUGUCCCCUUCAGCUCUCUACUGGGGGUGACCGCAGCCUGAGUACAGAUUUCAUCAUGGAAGCUUUUCUGACCCAGGAAACAGCUCCUUUAAUAGUAGGGGGCACCAGUGGUCAGAGAUCAGGUUGCUCAGUGGACACAUUGUAAGCUGGACAAUCACAGAUCAGCAAGUAGAUUAGGAGGCCACUCUUUCCCUGCCUCCUUUUUAUCCAAAGCCCAUUACAAACUCAUCAUACUCCUUUUCCCCUUACAUUGGUGGCUGAGGAGUCUGCUUACUCUUCUAAAAGUUCAGCCAAGCAGCUAGGAAAUAGUGGCCCCUGUGUGAGCUUGCACCCCCUUCUGUCCAUCGAUGUGGAGGAAGCCAUCGUCGUCCGGCUCCUCCUGCAUCUUCCCAGGAAGAACGGUGAGAGGAGUCACCCAGGGUGAUGACUGCCAG
ensembl:lncRNA